rnacentral:rRNA from 1 species
CGGUGAGUGAAGAAGGCUUCGGGUUGUAAAGCUCUUUCGGCAGGAACGAAAUGGUUCGUGCUAAUACCACGGACUGAUGACGGUACCUGAAGAAGAAGCACCGGCUAACUACGUGCCAGCAGCCGCGGUAAUACGUAGGGUGCAGGCGUUAAUCGGAAUUACUGGGCGUAAAGCGUGCGCAGGCGGUUUCUUAAGUCAGAUGUGAAAGCCCCGGGCUUAACCUGGGAACUGCGUUUGAAACUGGGAGACUUGAGUGUGGCAGAGGGGGGUGGAAUUCCACGUGUAGCAGUGAAAUGCGUAGAUAUGUGGAGGAACACCGAUGGCGAAGGCAGCCCCCUGGGCUAACACUGACGCUCAUGCACGAAAGCGUGGGGAGCAAACAGGAUUAGAUACCCUGGUAGUCCACGCCCUAAACUAUGUCAACUGGUUGUCGGGGGAUUAACUCCCUUGGUAACGAAGCUAACGCGUGAAGUUGACCGCCUGGGGAGUACGGCCGCAAGGUUAAAACUCAAAGGAAUUGACGGGGACCCGCACAAGCGGUGGAUUAUGUGGAUUAAUUCCGAUGCAACGCGAAUAAACUUACCUACCCUUGACAUGUACGGAAUCCUUCAGAGAUG